rnacentral:rRNA from 1 species
GUGAGGAAUAUUGGUCAAUGGGCGGGAGCCUGAACCAGCCAAGUCGCGUGAAGGAAGAAGGAUCUAUGGUUCGUAAACUUCUUUUGCAGGGGAAUAAAGUGCAGGACGUGUCCUGUUUUGUAUGUACCCUGAGAAUAAGGAUCGGCUAACUCCGUGCCAGCAGCCGCGGUAAUACGGAGGAUCCGAGCGUUAUCCGGAUUUAUUGGGUUUAAAGGGUGCGUAGGUGGUUUGAUAAGUCAGCGGUGAAAGUUUGCAGCUUAACUGUAAAAAUGCCGUUGAAACUGUCGGACUUGAGUGUAAAUGAGGUAGGCGGAAUGCGUGGUGUAGCGGUGAAAUGCAUAGAUAUCACGCAGAACUCCGAUUGCGAAGGCAGCUUACUGGGAUGCAACUGACGCUGAGGCACGAAAGCGUGGGGAUCAAACAGGAUUAGAAACCCUGGUAGUCC